GGCGGACGGGUGAGUAACACGUGGGUAACCUGCCCAUAAGACUGGGAUAACUCCGGGAAACCGGGGCUAAUACCGGAUAACAUUUUGAACCGCAUGGUUCGAAAUUGAAAGGCGGCUUCGGCUGUCACUUAUGGAUGGACCCGCGUCGCAUUAGCUAGUUGGUGAGGUAACGGCUCACCAAGGCAACGAUGCGUAGCCGACCUGAGAGGGUGAUCGGCCACACUGGGACUGAGACACGGCCCAGACUCCUACGGGAGGCAGCAGUAGGGAAUCUUCCGCAAUGGACGAAAGUCUGACGGAGCAACGCCGCGUGAGUGAUGAAGGCUUUCGGGUCGUAAAACUCUGUUGUUAGGGAAGAACAAGUGCUAGUUGAAUAAGCUGGCACCUUGACGGUACCUAACCAGAAAGCCACGGCUAACUACGUGCCAGCAGCCGCGGUAAUACGUAGGUGGCAAGCGUUAUCCGGAAUUAUUGGGCGUAAAGCGCGCGCAGGUGGUUUCUUAAGUCUGAUGUGAAAGCCCACGGCUCAACCGUGGAGGGUCAUUGGAAACUGGGAGACUUGAGUGCAGAAGAGGAAAGUGGAAUUCCAUGUGUAGCGGUGAAAUGCGUAGAGAUAUGGAGGAACACCAGUGGCGAAGGCGACUUUCUGGUCUGUAACUGACACUGAGGCGCGAAAGCGUGGGGAGCACACAGGAUUAGAUAGCCUGGUAGUCCACCCCCUACACGAUGAGUGCUAAGUGAUAGAGGGUUUGCUCCCUCUUCUGCAGAAG
rnacentral:rRNA from 1 species